GAGCAGGCCGAGCGACCGCGGGUACAUUCCGAAAGGAAGUGCGUGAGGAAAGUCCGGGCUCCAUAGGGCAAGGAUAACGGGUAACGCCCGCCAGGGGUGACCCUCGGACAAGUGCAACAGAGAUAUACCGCUUUGCCGGUGAACGCCGGCAGAGUAAGGGUGGAAAGGCGGAGAUAAGCGCCCGCCCGCGGCAUGGAGACACGUCCGCGCUGUAAACUCUAUCCGGAGCAACGCCGUGGAGGAACAUGAAGGCCGGCCCGGCCGUUCCGAGGAGGCGGCUUGAGCGCAAGCGGCAACGCUUCGCCACAGAUAGAUGGUCGCUGAAAACAGAACCCGGCUUACAGACCGGCUCA
rnacentral:RNase_P_RNA from 1 species